AACACCAUUCAAGAUUCAUCAACUUUCAACUUUCUAGAACAAACUUCACUGAAAUAAACAUGAUUGGCACGUGGAUGAACGAACCCAACACUAUGAAAGACUCACAUACCUCGUAGGGAUCACCCCUUGACCAAUUCCACGAGCCUAGCUUCAAGAACUUGAUGAUUCCUUGCUCCUUCUCCUCUUUUCUCCUCUUCUUUUCUCUUCUC
rnacentral:lncRNA from 1 species